AGAGUUUGAUCCUGGCUCAGAAUGAACGCUGGCGGCGUGCUUAACACAUGCAAGUCGUACGAGAACGCUUCAGCUUGCUGAAGCUAGUAAAGUGGCGUACGGGUGAGUAACGCGUGGGUAAUCUACCUUCGAAUCGGGGAUAACUUCGCGAAAGCGAGGCUAAUACCGGAUAACAUCUGUUGGAUUCCGGUCUUUAAGAUCAAAGGUGGCCUCUACAUGUAAGCUACCGUUCGGGGAUGAGCCCGCGUACCAUUAGCUUGUUGGUGGGGUAACGGCCUACCAAGGCCGCGAUGGUUAGCUGGUCUGAGAGGAUGAUCAGCCACACUGGAACUGACACACGGUCCAGACUCCUACGGGAGGCAGCAGUGAGGAAUUUUGCGCAAUGGGGGAAACCCUGACGCAGCAACGCCGCGUGAGUGAUGAAGGCCUUCGGGUCGUAAAGCUCUGUCUAGUGGGAAGAACCUGAUCUAUGCCAAUACCAUAGAUUAUUGACGGUACCACUGAGGGAAGCACCGGCUAACUCCGUGCCAGCAGCCGCGGUAAUACGGAGGGUGCAAGCGUUAUUCGGAAUCACUGGGCGUAAAGGGCGCGCAGGCGGUUUGGUUAGUCAGAUGUGAAAUCCCGGGGCUCAACCCCGGAAGUGCAUUUGAUACUGCCUAACUUGAGUAUGGGAGAGGGAAGUGGAAUUCCUGGUGUAGAGGUGAAAUUCGUAGAUAUCA
rnacentral:rRNA from 1 species